UAGGGAGAACCACAGAGGCUUGCAUCACAAAGGUCAAUUCAAUAGAGAGCACACAGUUCUGAAGAGCUGAGUCCCACCCAGAGUGAAGGUAUGAGCCAUCCCAGAAGACUUCCCAGAGGAGGAACCACAAGUGUGAUGCGCAGGUUCCUUUUAGAACAUGACACCACGGAAAGAGCAACAAUCUCUGGCCUCGACAUUCCCGCUUUUCCUGGUGAGACACACAUGUGCACAACGGGUCCUAAAAAAUAACCCAAAGCACAGAUGUUUAAUCCACCAACACCAAAGGUCUGCUAGAAAUAUCUCACUUUCUACAAUGGGGAUCUGCCAGACCCAAGGAUCAAAGCUGUGUCUCGUGGAUCUCCGGCAUUGGCAGUUGCCCAACCAGGGACUGAACCCACAGCCUUGGCAAUGAAAGCCUAACCCCAGACUGCCAGAAAAUUGCUUUACAGAAUCUAAAAUGAAGCCAGGGCACCAUUGAGAAAGUAGAACUUACACCUGUUCACUCUUGAAUGCAAAAUAAACUUUCAACCCAAUGAUCCUGAGACCGCCUGGAACUUGUCCUCUUUACUGCCUAGAGAACGCAGUUCAGCAACGAAUCUGCUCC
ensembl:lncRNA